CUCCUACGGGAGGCAGCAGUGGGGAAUCUUGCACAAUGGGCGAAAGCCUGAUGCAGCAAUGCCGCGUGAGUGAUGAAGGCCUUCGGGUUGUAAAUCUCUGUCGGUUGGGACAAACGGGUUCACAGGUAAUAUUUGUGAGCAGUGAUGGUACCAGCAAAGGAAGAGGCGGCUAACUCUGUGCCAGCAGCCGCGGUAAUACAGAGGCCUCGAGCGUUGUUCGGAAUUACUGGGCGUAAAGGGAAUGUAGGUGGUGACGUAAGUCAGAUGUGAAAGCCCUGGGCUUAACCCGGGAAGUGCAUUUGAUACUGCGUUGCUAGAGUACGAGAGAGGAAAGUGGAAUUCCAGGUGUAGGGGUGAAAUCCGUAGAUAUCUGGAGGAAUACCAAUGGCGAAGGCAGUUUUCUGGCUCGUAACUGACACUGAGAUUCGAAAGCGUGGGUAGCAAACAGGAUUAGAUACCCUGGUAGUCCACGCCGUAAACGAUGGAUGCUUGUUGUUGGAAGUGUUAACCCUUUCAGUAACGAAGCUAACGCGUUAA
rnacentral:rRNA from 1 species